rnacentral:rRNA from 1 species
CCUACGGGAGGCAGCAGUGGGGAGUAUUGCACAAUGGGGGAAACCCUGAUGCAGCAACGCCGCGUGAGUGAUGAAGGCCUUCGGCUUGUAAAGCUCUGUCUUUGGGGACGAUAAUGACGGUACCCAAGGAGGAAGCCACGGCUAACUACGUGCCAGCAGCCGCGGUAAU